rnacentral:tRNA from 1 species
GGAGAGGUGGCAGAGUGGUCGAAUGCACCGGACUCGAAAUCCGGCAUACGGAAACGUAUCGUGGGUUCGAAUCCCACCCUCUCCGCCA